GAUGAACGCUAGCGGCAGGCCUAAUACAUGCAAGUCGAACGAGAUUAAGAGGCUUGCUUCUUAUGAAAGUGGCGCACGGGUGCGUAACGCGUAUGCAACCUACCUUAAUCAGGGGGAUAGCCCGAAGAAAUUCGGAUUAAGACCGCAUAAAAACACAGGAUAGCAUUAUCCAAUGUUCAAAUAUUUAUAGGAUUAAGAUGGGCAUGCGUGUCAUUAGCUAGUUGGCGGGGUAACGGCCCACCAAGGCGACGAUGACUAGGGGAUCUGAGAGGAUGACCCCCCACACUGGUACUGAGACACGGACCAGACUCCUACGGGAGGCAGCAGUAAGGAAUAUUGGUCAAUGGAGGGAACUCUGAACCAGCCAUGCCGCGUGCAGGAAGACAGCCCUCUGGGUCGUAAACUGCUUUUAUUCGGGAAUAAACCUUUCUACGUGUAGGAAGCUGAAUGUACCGAAGGAAUAAGGAUCGGCUAACUCCGUG
rnacentral:rRNA from 1 species